GACGAACCGUGCGAACGUUAUUCGGAGUUACUGGGCGUAAAGCGCUUGUAGGCGGUCCACCAAGUUUGGGGUGACAGUUGCCGACUUAAUCGGCAAAGUGCCUCAAAGACUGGCGGACUUGAGGGCCACAGAGGGACAUGGAACUCCAGGUGUAGUGGUGAAAUGCGUAGAUAUCUGGAAGAACACCAAAGGCGAAGGCAGUGUCCUGGGUGGUCGCUGACGCUGAGAGGCGAAAGCCAGGGGAGCGAACGGG
rnacentral:rRNA from 1 species